GAUGAACGCUGGCGGCGUGCCUAAUACAUGCAAGUCGAGCGAACAGACGAGGAGCUUGCUCCUCUGACGUUAGCGGCGGACGGGUGAGUAACACGUGGAUAACCUACCUAUAAGACUGGGAUAACUUCGGGAAACCGGAGCUAAUACCGGAUAAUAUAUUGAACCGCAUUGUUCAAUAGUGAAAGACGGUUUUGCUGUCACUUAUAGAUGGAUCCGCGCCGCAUUAGCUAGUUGGUAAGGUAACGGCUUACCAAGGCAACGAUGCGUAGCCGACCUGAGAGGGUGAUCGGCCACACUGGAACUGAGACACGGUCCAGACUCAUACGGGAGGCAGCAGUAGGGAAUCUUCCGCAAUGGGCGAAAGCCUGACGGAGCAACGCCGCGUGAGUGAUGAAGGUCUUCGGAUCGUAAAACUCUGUUAUUAGGGAAGAACAAAUGUGUAAGUAACUAUGCACGUCUUGACGGUACCUAAUCAGAAAGCCACGGCUAACUACGUG
rnacentral:rRNA from 1 species